AAAAAUAAUUAUUCUUUUCUUAUUUCAGAUAUUAAAUAUUUGCCCUUUGGUUGUAAUAAGAAUAUUUUUUUUUUAAUUUUUAUUAUUGUUUUUGAUUCAUUUUUUAAAAAAAUAAGAUAUUUAGCUAUCGUAAAAAGAGAGUUGCAACUCGUGAAACAGUUGGGAAACAUUGUUCUAUACACAAUAGUAGAAUAAAUCUUGUCGACUUGCUCCUUUGCUGUUUUUUUCUACACUCUAUCGCGUCAUGAAAAACGCGUGCAUGAAAGAAUCUCGAGCAGCCUCUUGUCCCUCGUGCUUUUCCAAUUUUUUCUUCCCGUUUGCGAAACGCUCGUUAAAAAGCGAUGAGAGAUAAUUCCAACUCUUGCAAACUGUUUUCCAAAACAAAAGAAACAUCCAACAUCCAACAUUUUUUUUCGAGUUGCAAGGAUAGAAGAAAAAUCUUUCAUUUAAAAAAUAUUUGUUCCAGAAAUGAGAGAUUCGAGUGAAAUCCGGAACAUUAAGUGAAUCAUAGGAAAUUAAAACUUUUUCUGUGUGAAGUAAAAAAAAUUGAAAAGUAUAUAAUUUGCUCUUAAAAAAUAUUAUUUAUUCUCAUUUGAUGGCUGUUGAUAAGUAAUGGAUCAAGAAUAUUGCAAAAAUAAAGAAGAUAAUUCGUCAAGAUUAAGAUACGUAUUUAACAAUAAAUAUAAGAAUAAAAUUUGUACGACCAUUAUUCUUGUUAAUUUAUCAUUCUCAGUAUUUGUUUAUUUUAUAAUAAAGAGAAUUAAAAAUAUUUUCUCGAAUAUUUUAAAAGCGAAUAUUUGUGUAAAAGUAUGUAUAAGAUUUUAACAUAUAAAUAUUUCAGGAAUUCAAAAUCUGUAAGGAUGGUGUAUCAAUCUUUCAUGAUCGCCGUUUCAUUUGCAUCAAAAGCCAAUGGACGUUAAAAGAUUUAUACAAGAAUCGCUUAAACGAGAAUCGAUAAAUCGAAUAAAAAGGAAUUUCUUAGAGAGGAUAUUUUUAGAUCGACAGAUGCCACAACCUUGGAUGUAUAAAAGUUAAUCUAAAAAUAAUUGGCCAAUCGUUGCGGCUUAUUUACUAAUGGAAAAUCGGUUCAUCGACGUGUAUAACGGUGUAUACGCAGGUACCGUUUUAAAAAAAGGCCCACCAUGAUGAUAUUCCUUUUUUUCCUGAUGAUAUGAUAAUAAGCAUAUUUUUCAAUACUCUCGAUGCUCUCUUUUGAAGAAAUAUUAAGGAACCGAUUUUUAUUCAAGCACAAUUGAAUGGAAAUUAUCCAAAAUAAGCCAAAAAACAGCAUAAAAUUCACAAGAAAUUCUCAUAAUCGCUUCAAUGAAAACGCAACUUUAUAUUCGACAUUGAUGCAACUCGGAUCGAAAAUUUCCAUAACAAUCGAGAUAUUUUUCUAAAAAUCAAAUUUUUUUUAAUGAAUCUUUAUUAUAGUUCACCUAAUAAAAUUUUUAAAGCAGUUAUUCGUUUAUUUCUCAAAAGUUAAGCAGUAAAUCAUUACACGAGAAAUGCAAACACUUCGAUGAAAUUCAACGCUAAUGUAAGGAUUAUGUAACUAAAUAAUACAUAUACCAGAGAAGAA